rnacentral:misc_RNA from 1 species
CUGGGUAAAGGCCUCGCGCCUCCAACCCCACCCUUUGCAACCGCGGCCCGGAUUCGGCGCCUGGCGGGGGAUCCCCUCUGUUCGCGGAGGCCCCUCGCCUGCCGGAAUCAGCCAACCCUGCUUUGAAAAUUGAAGUCUGAGAACAAGUUAAAUUAAACA